AUGUAGUACGAUAAGAAAUGAUAAGUUAUAAUAGGUAGUAGUAGUAGUAGUAGUAGUAGUAGUAGUAGUAGCAGUAAUAGUAGUGGUAGUAGUAGAGGAGGUUAGGAGGGUGAAUGUUGCUGUGUUGCCUUGGAGAGAGAGAGAGAGGAGGAGGAGGAGGAGGAGGAGGGGAAGACUGGACGAGUAAGCCAACCAACCAGCGGCUCUCUCCUCCUCCUCCUCCUCCUCCUCCUACUCUUCUUCCCUCAGUCAGUCUGGAGUGAGCGCGCUAUCCUGUUGCUUCCCGCGUGUUGAAAGAAAAAAAGAAAGAAAAAGAAAACAAAAACAAAAUGAGAAUGAAUUAAAAGAAAGAAAAAGAAAGAAAAGAAAGAAAACAAGAAAAAAAGUGAAUGAAAGAAAGAAAAUAAAGAAAAAAAGAAAACAAAAGUGAAA